rnacentral:lncRNA from 1 species
GUUGGGGAAGGCCUUCCUCACGACACGAUGCUUAUUAAUUUAACUCCCGAUGAUGAAGAAUGCACUCACGCUAAUUAUGGAUUUGAAAAUGAUUAGUGAACAAGGGAUUUGAAAGAAGCUCAUGUCUCUUAUACGAUGUUGUGGUUUGCUAAUAAUGUUAAGUUUAUAUUUUUUUAGUUUUGGCAACUGCCCACUAAGUACUCUUGUACUUAGCCCUGCGUAUGUUUAUGAUUGUGCAGGUUGAGCUGUGAUAGGCGAUGAAGUG